AGAGUUUGAUCAUGGCUCAGAUUGAACGCUGGCGGCAGGCCUAACACAUGCAAGUCGAACGGUAACAGGAAACAGCUUGCUGUUUCGCUGACGAGUGGCGGACGGGUGAGUAAUGUCUGGGAAACUGCCUGAUGGAGGGGGAUAACUACUGGAAACGGUAGCUAAUACCGCAUAACGUCGCAAGACCAAAGAGGGGGACCUUCGGGCCUCUUGCCAUCGGAUGUGCCCAGAUGGGAUUAGCUUGUUGGUGGGGUAACGGCUCACCAAGGCGACGAUCCCUAGCUGGUCUGAGAGGAUGACCAGCCACACUGGAACUGAGACACGGUCCAGACUCCUACGGGAGGCAGCAGUGGGGAAUAUUGCACAAUGGGCGCAAGCCUGAUGCAGCCAUGCCGCGUGUAUGAAGAAGGCCUUCGGGUUGUAAAGUACUUUCAGCGGGGAGGAAGGGAGUAAAGUUAAUACCUUUGCUCAUUGACGUUACCCGCAGAAGAAGCACCGGCUAACUCCGUGCCAGCAGCCGCGGUAAUACGGAGGGUGCAAGCGUUAAUCGGAAUUACUGGGCGUAAAGCGCACGCAGGCGGUUUGUUAAGUCAGAUGUGAAAUCCCCGGGCUCAACCUGGGAACUGCAUCUGAUACUGGCAAGCUUGAGUCUCGUAGAGGGGGGUAGAAUUCCAGGUGUAGCGGUGAAAUGCGUAGAGAUCUGGAGGAAUACCGGUGGCGAAGGCGGCCCCCUGGACGAAGACUGACGCUCAGGUGCGAAAGCGUGGGGAGCAAACAGGAUUAGAUACCCUGGUAGUCCACGCCGUAAACGAUGUCGACUUGGAGGUUGUGCCCUUGAGGCGUGGCUUCCGGAGCUAACGCGUUAAGUCGACCGCCUGGGGAGUACGGCCGCAAGGUUAAAACUCAAAUGAAUUGACGGGGGCCCGCACAAGCGGUGGAGCAUGUGGUUUAAUUCGAUGCAACGCGAAGAACCUUACCUGGUCUUGACAUCCACAGAACUUUUCAGAGAUGGAAAUGUGCCUUCGGGAACCGUGAGACAGGUGCUGCAUGGCUGUCGUCAGCUCGUGUUGUGAAAUGUUGGGUUAAGUCCCGCAACGAGCGCAACCCUUAUCCUUUGUUGCCAGCGGUCCGGCCGGGAACUCAAAGGAGACUGCCAGUGAUAAACUGGAGGAAGGUGGGGAUGACGUCAAGUCAUCAUGGCCCUUACGACCAGGGCUACACACGUGCUACAAUGGCGCAUACAAAGAGAAGCGACCUCGCGAGAGCAAGCGGACCUCAUAAAGUGCGUCGUAGUCCGGAUUGGAGUCUGCAACUCGACUCCAUGAAGUCGGAAUCGCUAGUAAUCGUGGAUCAGAAUGCCACGGUGAAUACGUUCCCGGGCCUUGUACACACCGCCCGUCACACCAUGGGAGUGGGUUGCAAAAGAAGUAGGUAGCUUAACCUUCGGGAGGGCGCUUACCACUUUGUGAUUCAUGACUGGGGUGAAGUCGUAACAAGGUAACCGUAGGGGAACCUGCGGUUGGAUCACCU
rnacentral:rRNA from 1 species